rnacentral:rRNA from 1 species
UACAGAGGGUGCAAGCGUUGUUCGGAAUUAUUGGGCGUAAAGAGCGCGUAGGCGGUCUAGUAAGUGUGAAGUGAAAUCUCCAGGGCUCAACCCGGAAACUGCUUUACAUACUGCAAGACUGGAGUGAUGAAGAGGUUUGUGGAAUUCCUGGUGUAACGGUGAAAUGUGUUGAUAUCAGGAGGAACACCCAUGGCGAAGGCAGCAAACUGGUCAUCAACUGACGCUGAGGCGCGAAAGCGUGGGUAGCAAACAGG